UGGCAAUUUCUUCAAUGACGUUUUCUAAAUAAAAAUCUUUUUUUUUUUUUUGGCUUCCUUUUUUGUGAUUCUGCUAAGUCGUGUGCUCCUUCUCAGCUCCUGCGUUUUGGUGUGUCUUUAUCGUGAUUAUAUUUUGAGGUUCAUUUCGGGCGAUUGAUGGGUAUUGCUCAAUCAUCAUUGUUCAUUCGAUUCCAGAAUCUCUUCCAGAUAUUUCGAGGUGGAAUAAUAAGAAGAGCAAAUGUUUCGGUGUUGUUCACUGCUCUAUCUGGAGAUGUAGCUGUUUAACAAUUUUGUUUAGCUUGUUUUAGCAUAGAGUACCACAUGGGAUUGGGAGUUUUAGUGUUAAGGGAGAAGCAGAAUGGACUCACAACUGGGUCUAAUUGAACAAUCAUUUAACAGUCGCUACACUUUCUGGGCACGAGAAGCGCUUGAUGGUUUACCUGACAAUUUUACGAUUACUGAUCCUUCAAUUUCUGGUCAUCCAAUAGUGUUUGCGAGUCGAGGGUUCAUGAAAAUGUCAGGUUAUUCUAGAGAGGAAAUAAUUGGGAAAAACGGAAGAUUUUUUCAAGGUCCAGGGACUAAUCGAAGGACGGUUAUGGAAAUUCGAGAGGCAAUUCGUGAAGAGAGGACAGUUGAGGUUAAUUUGUUGAAUUAUAGGAAAGAUGGGACACCCUUUUGGAUGUUGUUUCGUCUGAGUCCUGUUUUUUGUAAACAAGACGGGAGGGUCACUCAUUUUCUGGCAGUUCAGGUGCCUAUUGUUUCCAAAAAACAUAGGAGAAACAGUGGGUUCAAUUUUAGUGAAGAGGGUAGUGAUUCUGGGUUUAGAGAGAUUGUGUUUGGUUCUUGUAGGAGGGAGGUUUGUUCGGAUUCUUUGUUGGAUUUGGAUCGUCUUUUGGCGCUUGAUUCGGAUAGUCAAGGAUUAGAGAAUGAACAGCCCUGUGAAGCAAGUGAGCUAGAGAAGCGAAAAGCUGCAAAUGCCAUAAACAACGUCUUGUCUGUGCUAACUCACUAUAGUGCAUCAACAGGCAAAUUGGUUUGUGAAAAGAGAUGCAGCAUAGCGGGGGUGGGCUUCAUAAAUUCUUCAUUACGUAUAUCUCUUGGUAGAAUCAAACAAAGCUUUGUAUUAACUGAUCCACACUUACCUGACAUGCCCAUAGUUUACGCCAGCGAUGCCUUCUUAAAGUUGACAGGUUAUGACAGACAUGAAGUGUUGGGGCACAACUGUGAUUUCUUAAAUGGAUCUGAUACUGAUACUGCAACCUUAUAUCAGAUAAAGGAAAGCAUUCGAGCAGAACAAGCAUGCACAGUACGUAUCUUAAAUUACAGGAAGGACAAAAGUUCAUUUUGGUGUCUUCUUCAUAUGUCACCUGUUCGUAAUGCAUCUGGCAAGUGUUGCAUGACGGUCUGGUCUGUAGGUCUGCUAGCCAGCCCAUGGUGUACAAUUCAGCCAUAAAGAUAAGUGGGGGUAGGUAGGGAGGGAUUGGAAGAUUGAGAUCAUUUAAGGUUUCAAAUUUUUAAGGAACAACCUUAUCCCUAUUUUUCGAUUACUGUUUUGGUGUUCUUUCCGUUGUCCCAUCUUAUAUACAAUGAUGGUAGUGAAUUUAGACGAUAAUUUUGGUGUUAUAGGUAUCAUAAUUUAUAGUUAUAGUCCUGCCUUUGAGUUUCCUCUUCCAUAUUUUCAGCUUUUCCAUUAUGAAAAAUUUGAUAACUUGCUUGGUUCUCUGUAGCCAGGGGUGGAGGGAGAGGGGGUCAAGGAGGGUCAAUAAUUGACCCUCCUUAAGUUUCAAAUUUUUUUUGAUGAGUUUUACACAUUUGCCCCUAAAUGAAAAGUAAAUUACAAAAAAAUUUCAAUCUAUCAAAUAAGUUAAACUCUCAUUAUUCUUUUUGAACUGUCAAAAUUAAACCCUUUUUCUCUACUUCUCAGACCCGUUCUUUCUCUAUUGUCCAUAACUGAUUUAACAACCCAGGUUUCAAUUUUUUUUUUUCUAAAUUUCUAAUUCUUUAUCCACAUAAAUGUUGUUUUCUCCUAUCUAUCAAGCAGACAAGCCCCUUUUUUCUUCAAUUUGUCAGGUAGCAUACUUUGCCAGUGUUCAAACAGAAGAAGGAUGUAAGAAUGCAGAUCGACAUGGGCUGAGCCCAGAAAAGAGGCAGCUCAGUGCCAUUGGCGCAAUCAAGGUUGCAGUGAGGAGUUCAUCCAUCGGUG